GCAAACUUAUUGAAAGAUAAGGACGCAAAGCCGUGGAUCUAAGGAGAACAUCUCUAUGAUUGCCAGGUUGCCGA
rnacentral:ncRNA from 1 species